rnacentral:rRNA from 1 species
GCCUAACACAUGCAAGUCGAACGAGACCUUCGGGUCUAGUGGCGCACGGGUGCGUAACGCGUGGGAAUCUGCCCUUCGGUUGGGAAUAACACAGAGAAAUUUGUGCUAAUACCUUAUAAUGUCUUCGGACCAAAGAUUUAUCGCCGAGGGAUGAGCCCGCGUAGGAUUAGGUAGUUGGUGGGGUAAUGGCCUACCAAGCCGACGAUCCUUAGCUGGUCUGAGAGGAUGAUCAGCCACACUGGGACUGAGACACGGCCCAGACUCCUACGGGAGGCAGCAGUGGGGAAUAUUGGACAAUGGGCGAAAGCCUGAUCCAGCAAUGCCGCGUGAGUGAUGAAGGCCUUAGGGUUGUAAAGCUCUUUUACCAGGGAUGAUAAUGACAGUACCUGGAGAAUAAGCUCCGGCUAACUCCGUGCCAGCAGCCGCGGUAAUACGGAGGGAGCUAGCGUUGUUCGGAAUUACUGGGCGUAAAGCGCGCGUAGGCGGUUACUCACGUCAGAGGUGAAAGCCCGGGGCUCAACCCCGGAACUGCCUUUGAAACUAGGUAACUAGAAUCUUGGAGAGGUCAGUGGAAUUCCGAUGUGUAGAGGUGAAAUUCGUAGAUAUUCGGAAGAACACCAGUGGCGAAGGCGACUGACU